UACGUAGGGGGCUAGCGUUGUCCGGAAUCAUUGGGCGUAAAGAGCGCGUAGGCGGCUAGAUAAGUCCGGUGUGAAAGUCACAGGCUCAACCUUGAGAUGCCAUUCGAUACGGGGUAGCUAGAGGUAGCUAGGGGAGAUUGGAAUUCCUGGUGUAGCGGUGAAAUGCGCAGAUAUCAGGAGGAACACCGUGGCGCAAGGCGGUCUC
rnacentral:rRNA from 1 species